GAUCAUGGCUCAGGAUGAACGCUGGCGGCGUGCUUAACACAUGCAAGUCGAGCGAAGCACUUUGCUUUGAUUUCUUCGGGAUGAAGAGCUUAGUGACUGAGCGGCGGACGGGUGAGUAACGCGUGGGUAACCUGCCUCAUACAGGGGGAUAACAGUUAGAAAUGACUGCUAAUACCGCAUAAGUCCACAGCACCGCAUGGUGCAGGGGUAAAAACUCCGGU
rnacentral:rRNA from 1 species